rnacentral:rRNA from 1 species
AUACGGAGGAUGCGAGCGUUAUCCGGAAUUAUUGGGUUUAAAGGGUGCGUAGGCGGACGAUUAAGUCAGCUGUGAAAUGCCCGCGCUUAACGCGGGAAGUGCAGUUGAUACUGGUUGUCUGGAGUGCCGUUGCCGUGGGGGGAAUGUGUAGUGUAGCGGAGAAAUGCAUAGAUAUUACACAGAACGCCGAUUGUGAAGACACCUCACGAAGGGUUGAUUGACGCUGAGGCACGAAAGCGUGGGGAUCAAACAGGAUUAGAUACCCUGGUAGUCCACGCAGUAAACGAUGAUGGCUAACCGCUGGGCUUAUCAGUUCAGUGGCCAAGCGAAAGCGAUAAGCCAUCCACCUGGGGAGUACGACCGCAAGGUUGAAACUCAAAGGAAUUGACGGGG